rnacentral:lncRNA from 1 species
UUUCACAGUCAAGUGGAACCAUUUAGUAUCACAUUUCUCGAGGAAGGUGCUGUUGCCACAAUAAUGCCUUGCUGGGGCUUCUCAGAUGAUCUACCAGACGUUUGUGUGGAUGGUUCCAAUAUGAUAAGGGAAUACACCAAUCGUGGUGUGCAGAAGAGCUGUGUUGAUGACGAAGUGGUAUUGGCCCCACAUGUACUUGCAGCUCUCGCUCAGUGGCAACUGGAGGUGACUGGGCAACUUCAAAGUGGGGAAUGACUGAAGAAUGCGGAUAAAGAACGGGCUUCUAGCUUCCAGCUUCCAGCUUCGUAGCAUCGCAUCACAGAGUGAGUGUACGACGCCAAUAGCCUCGUGGUGAGGGUGGAAUGUGUCCAAGGAACCGCUUGAAUACGCAAUCUUAAUUUUCAAUGGCUGAAGCCUCAUAUGGCCAAUAAUUGAAAGCAGCUAAACAUUCCAUACCACAGUAUCGACAGUGCACAGUAGGGCACAAUUCGGCCUCAGGUUCCUUAGAUCAUAACCACUGGAGGUCUUGUCAGUGACGGAAACGUGAGGAGCUACGUUGCGUAUCAGUUUCAGGUUGAGCGCACCUCGGGCACAACUAGCAGAUAGGGUUUGCACCUUACGUUUGCGUUACGGACAGUGGCCUGUUCCGAAUGCACUUGCAACCAAGUCCUUUUAUCGU